rnacentral:rRNA from 1 species
ACGGGUGAGUAACACGUGGGCAACCUGCCCUUGAGACUGGGAUAACUUCGGGAAACCGGAGCUAAUACCGGAUAAUAUAAGGAACCUCCUGGUUCCUUGUUGAAAGAUGGUUUCGGCUAUCACUUAAGGAUGGGCCCGCGGCGCAUUAGCUAGUUGGUGAGGUAACGGCUCACCAAGGCGACGAUGCGUAGCCGACCUGAGUGGGCGAUCGGCCACACUGGGACUGAGACACGGCCCAGACUCCUACGGGAGGCAGCAGUAGGGAAUCUUCCACAAUGGACGAAAGUCUGAUGGAGCAACGCCGCGUGAGUGAUGAAGGCCUUCGGGUCGUAAAGCUCUGUUGUUAGGGAAGAACAAGUGCGAGAGUAACUGCUCGCACCUUGACGGUACCUAACCAGAAAGCCACGGCUAACUACGUGCCAGCAGCCGCGGUAAUACGUAGGUGGCAAGCGUUAUCCGGAAUUAUUGGGCGUAAAGCGCGCGCAGGUGGUUUCUUAAGUCUGAUGUGAAAGCCCACGGCUCAACCGUGGAGGGUCAUUGGAAACUGGGGAACUUGAGUGCAGAAGAGGAAAGUGGAAUUCC